CCCGAGUAGCUGGAACUACAGGCGCCCGCCAUGAUGCCCGGCUCAUUUUCUGUGUUUUCAGUAGAGACGGGGUUUCACUGUGUUAGCCAGGAAAGUCUUGAUCUCCUGACCUCGUGAUCCUGACCUCGGCCUCCCAAAGUGCUGGGAUUACAGGCGCGAGCCACCGCGCCCGACAGCAGUUAUGAAGUUCUAAAAGCAAGUCUUAAUCAGGAAGUGUCCUUGAUCACCAACGGCUCGCCCAGGCAUGCUGGCUCUCUUCCACUUCCACCUUCCACCAUGGGAUGACGCAGUAAGAAGGCCAUCAGUAGAUGCCAGUCCCUCAACCUUGAACUUUCCAGACGCAGAACGAGUGCACUCCUUGGAAGGAAGUCACUAUAGAUAUCCCACGCAUGUGGAGAGGGGAGCUAUGAUCCACCUCAUGAAGGGCAAGUUUAAACAUUUCAUUCCAUCAUCGUGUUCCUGGUUUCUAUGAGAACUCCACUGUCAUUCUUAUUCUUGUUCCUCUAAAUGUGAGGUAUUUUUUUCUCCUUGGGCUUCUUUCAAAAUUUUUCUCAUUGACUCUGGUUCGCUUAUGACAUGCCUAGGUGUAGUCCAUUUUGAGUAUUAUGUAAUGAGACACCAGAUCUUAUUUCAACCUUCUGUUUUGGCUGGAUUUCCUCUGAAACUGCUCUGGCAGCAAAGGAGGAAGGGUUACUCCCAGCUAGGAAGCUGAAUAUCUCAUAAAAUGAUGGGAACAAAAAAGUUAUGCCUCCAUUUUCCUCUGCUGCAUGGCCCCAGGAGAGAUUUUAAUUAGCUUUCUAACCUUGGUCCAGAUUGCACAUGCAAAUGGUAGAGGAUGCAACACCCCCGCUUGUGGAGCUGCCGCUUGUGUCUGGCAUGGUUAAAAACACCUUGAUAAUCCGUGAGGACAGAAAGCAAGAGCUGAAGAGAACAAAGUACGAAAACAGUGAAAAUUUUAAAGAUUUAGAUGUGUGGAAGCAGAUAGACACAUAAGGAAGUAUUCUGUAGCAACUCACAGUCAUCGGUGGAAAUUUUGAACUAGUAGAGGAUACAGAAUCAGAUUCUUGCCAAAUGUAUUCAGUUAUAUGAGGAAUAGAGAGUUGAUGUCUGCGUUACAUAAACAAUUUUCCUGUAACAGUCUCACUUGGGAAUGGAGUAUACCAAUGAUGUUAUUGUAGACUUGGAAGUGGCAACAAAUUAAAUUGAUCAUUUUAAAUAAUUAAUGUAAUGUGAAUACUAUAAAAUUUACAGAAAUUGGAUAGUCAGUAUGUGAAUUAAAAUGUUAAUGUUAGGUGAAUAUUAUAAAAUGUACAGAAAUUGGAUUGUCGGUAUGUGAAUUAAAAUGUUAACAGUGCAUUUGGGUGGAAAUCUUGCUCUGGAUGCCCCUUCUAGAUGUUCAUGGCUCACUCCCUGCCAUGUUGUCAGGUAUUUGAGCUCUCUGUUCCCACUCAGAGUAGAUGAGCAGAAGAGGAAAUGAGGGCCUUCCCAGAGCAACUCCCCCAGAUGAACAGAGCCAGGCUGCCUGGAUUCAAUGUUAUCUUCAUUUCUUAGCUGUAUCAUCACGAGUUGUUUAAUUCCUCAGCACUUAAUUUUCUUGACCUGCAAAAAUAUGGAUCAUAAUGAUCAUUAACUAAUAAGUUUGCCAUGAGGAUUAACUGUAUAUUAAGGGCUGAUAAAAUUAUAUGUUACAAGCACAGUGAGCCCUUGGAAUCGCUUCUUUCCUGAAAGGCUUUGCACAAAAUUGAUGAAGGAGGAUAUUUGCUGAUUAACAUGUUUACUCCCAGAGACUAAGCUGAGGAAAUGCUUUUAUAGGCAAGGAAGCUUUGAUUUGCAACUUAGGGAUGCCAGUAUGAGAAUGAAAAUUCACAAGAAGAGAGGAAAUACUGAGGAGAAAAUGGCAGAUUGUGUUUGCUGAAUUUGAUUGACGAAGAAGUCACCAUGAAAAUCACAGUGAACCAUUUGGAAAGCAAACUGCCAAAAAAUAAUAGUUAGUCAUGCUCUCAGGCUGGUUGUUUUGGCUGUUGUGGGUUUCUUGCAUUUCCAGAUGAUUGCAAAGAGCUGUUUCUCAAUUUCUGCAACAAGUGCCAGCUGAAAUUUUGGUACCAGUUUCAUUAAAUAUGUAGAACAAUUUGAGCCUGAGUGAGUUCUGUGGAGCCCAUACUACCUGCGAUUCAAGCCAGCAACCUUGGAAUCUCCCUGAACAAUUUCUAUGGUGUCCAAUCACAUUUGCAAUCACUCCCCACACUCAGUAGGUUCUGCCCCCACAUCAUUUCUUUUCUCUAUCCUCUUUCCCAGCUUUAUAAUAUGACUUAGUUCAAGCCCUAAUCACUGGAUUAUUCAAAGUCCCUUAACAGGUUAAUUCCUACUGUGAUCAACACUUUAAAGGAAGGCAAUAGGGCCAGGCAUGGUGGCUCACGGCUGUAAUCCCAGCACUUUGGGAGGCUGAGGCGAGUGGAUCACAAGGUCGGGAGUUUGAGACCAGCCUGACUAACACAGUGAAACCCCGACUCUACUAAAAAUACAAAAAAUUAGCCAGGUGUGGUCGUGGGUACCUGUAGUCCCAGCUACUAGGGAGGCUGAGGCAGGAGAAUGGCGUGAACCCGAGAGGCGGAGCUUGCAGUGAGCCAAGAUUACGCCACUGCACUCCAGCCUGGGUGACGGAGCGAGACUCCAUCUCAAAAAAAAUAAAAAAUAAAUAAAACAGAAAGGCAAUGGCUAUCCCAAAUUGCUGAAGCCUUUGCUAAAAGCACAGACAGAAAACAACAAUAUGGUGAUGUUUGUGUUAAACAAAUGUUAUUGAUUCUAGGACACAGGUCAGAUGGCAAAUAGUCAAACUCAAAUGUUGAUCCCAGGGGUGGCUGUAUCAUCACUAAGGCCAAAUCACAACUUUGACUGGUCUCAUGGGAACACAGAUCUUGGGUUUGGAAAGAGCACAGGCCUGGCCAUGGGAAUGGACACAGGGUAAUUUUAAGAUGACUAGAGGUUCCUCAAACCCUAAAAGUACCACUGAACCUUGUUUAAAGCUAAAAUGGCUCCUAAAUGAUAGACACGUUUCUCAGUUAUCUCUGCAAACUGAAGAUCCUAUCAGCCUGUUCAGGGUCUCACAGGCCUCUGGGUUUGUACAUGAUGUCCCUACAGUGGCGAUGGGGACUGAUGAGAGCCACCGUUCCCAUUGGAGGAGGGCAAGCUGCCACUGAGUGUCAGCUGCUGGAGUAAACAUCCAAUCACAUGUGUACCUGUAUCCUAUGGAUAUUGGCUUCCCCUCAUACAACUUGUUGUUCCUUUGUUUUCCAUUCCUGACUAUAUUUGAAUCUUUCUUGGAUUUCCAGGAAACAUCUGACUGCUUUCCUAUGCCACUUCAUACCCAAGAGAAGCUCAGGGAGAUCCUUUAAGGUCCUUUAUGCCCAUUAUGAUAGUACAUGAAUAGGUAAAUGUACCACUGCUCCCUGUACUUCUUGGAUAAUGCACAAAUAGUAAGACAGUCUCGCAACCAGCAGCCUAGACAGCCCAAAUAUGUGAAACCAAAACAGCUUGAUCUUCCAGACCUGUUCUGACUCCUUGAGUCUUAAAUCUCCAAGCCUCUUGAAUGUUUCACCCACAGCCUUCCCUUUGGGAUCUGGCAUGGGACAGGAAGGGCAGAGAAGGGCCUGGGGCUUUUCCUCAGGGAUCCACCACAGUCUAGGCCAGUGGGUGGCAAACUUUUUCUGCAAAGGAUCAGCUGGGAGAUAGUUUCAACUUUGUAGUCUCGUCGCAGCUACUCUACUCGACUCUGCCACUGGAGUGUGAAUGCAGUCAUGAAUAAAAGAAUGAAAGUUUUCCAGUGAAACUUUAGUCACAAAAACAGUCUGCAGGCUGUGUCUGGCCCGUGGGCUUUGGUUUGCUGGCCUGCGGGCUCCUAGAAGGCUCUGACUUUAUCCCUCUAUGAGGGAAAGCAGGUUUUGGGGUAUUCUCCCAAAUCUUUAUACCUUAUGUCUGUGUCUCUUUUUAAAUUAAAAGUAAAAUUUAGGCGGACUGUGUAUUUUUGGCUGCUCUCCAAGCCCUUGAGGAAAACACUUGGAGUCAAUCUCAUCCUUUUGAUGCAGUGCUGAGUAAUGAGGUAUUUCCCUGUCUAGAGAUUUUAGAAGAUGGAAAAAAGAAAAAUACAUUGCACUCUGAAACAUUCUACAUAAAAAUGGAAUGUGUGGUCAUUAGAUUAACUCAGGCUUUGGACCUCGGGGCAUAAAACCCAUUUCCUCUUACACCAGUCUCUGAAGCUUAAAGGAUUCGUUAUUUCCAGUUGCAAAUGCCAUCAGAAAAGGAUUGUUUUUCUUUCUAGUACCACCAAGAAUGUAGUUUACCAUUGUGAAUAAACUGUCUUAAGCUUUCCCCGAAUAAAAUAAAUACAAAUGCUCCUGAUUUUUCACAUGCUAUCCACAGCGCCUAGAGAUCCAAGCUUUUGUGAACAGGGGCUGACUUGUGAAUGUGAA
rnacentral:lncRNA from 10 species